GGAGAGAUGGCCGAGUGGCUUAAGGCGCUCGCCUGCUAAGCGUGUGUGGGGUGAAAGCUCCACCGAGGGUUCAAAUCCCUCUCUCUCCGCCA
rnacentral:tRNA from 1 species